GACAGAGGGUGCAAACGUUGCUCGGAAUCACUGGGCGUAAAGGGCGUGUAGGCGGGACGGUAAGUCGGGCGUGAAAUCCCUAGGCUCAACCUAGGAACUGCACUCGAAACUACCAUUCUUGAGUGUCGGAGAGGAAAGCGGAAUUCCUGGUGUAGAGGUGAAAUUCGUAGAUAUUAGGAAGAACACCAGUGGCGAAGGCGCUUUCUGGCGUCGUAACUGAC
rnacentral:rRNA from 1 species